rnacentral:rRNA from 1 species
UACAGAGGUCCCGAGCGUUGUUCGGAUUUAUUGGGCGUAAAGAGCGUGUAGGCGGCCAGACAGGUCCGUUGUGAAAACUGGAGGCUUAACCUCCAGACGUCGAUGGAAACCGUCUGGCUAGAGUCCGGAAGAGGAGAGUGGAAUUCCUGGUGUAGCGGUGAAAUGCGCAGAUAUCAGGAAGAACACCCGUGGCUAAGGCGGCUCUCUAGUACGGUACUGACGCUGAGACGCGAAAGCGUGGGGAGCGAACAGG